AGUUCCUUUCCAGGAGGCGUUGCCUAGCUACUUUUCUUGUAGUUGUGACCAGAUACCUGAAAGCCACCACAGAAAGGGUUUAUUUUGGUUCAUUUUGGCAGUCUCAGUCUGUUCUGGUGGCAUCCAUGGUGUGGCCCAUGCUCCUGGGACCCCUCGCAUGUGGCUGACAAGGAGUCAGAGAGCAGGGAGUGCUGGUCUGCCAGAGUUCUUUUCAGGGAAUAAUACCCACAACACCGAGUCUUCAGACAGCUUCCAACACCAGAACCAGAAGAUGGAAGAUGACAGCAGGUCCCAGAGUUACUAGAAUACCAGCUGUUUCCAGUGGGGACAGGAACAAAGAGCAGCUUUUGUGACUUCAGUAAUGGGCCUCUGGCCCUGGCUCCCAUAUGCUGCAGUGAGGACAGUGUGACUGAGUGUCUGCCCUGUUGAACUGUGGAGUCAUCCGAAGUGCCCGCCGUGCUCCAGACACCGCUGGCUGUCUAAGUCCUCUCCCCCAGCUCUACCUGGGGUUGAGAGUGACCCAUGCUUCUAGACUUCCGGAAGAUGAAGACUCUGUCUGUCCCAUGUCUGCCCUUGGUCUUGUCCCCUGUGCUAGGCAGGGUCAUAGAGAGGCCAGGCUCUAAGGCUCUGGAAGAGCAGAAGCAGGGGGAGAGCAGGUAAGAGCUCUGCUGUCACAGACCAAGCCCUCUCCUGCUGAAAGCUCAGAAUACCCAAGAUACAAUUCACAGACCACAUGAAGCUCAAGACAAAGGGAGACCAAAGUGUGGGUGCUUCGGUAUGUCUUAGAAGGUAACAAAAUACACACUGGAGCAAAUACAGAGACAAAGUGUGGAGCAGAGACUGAAGGAAAGGCCAUCCAGAGACUGCCCCACCCGAGGAUC